rfam:Xenorhabdus innexi strain HGB1681 (deposited as PTA-6826 in the American Type Culture Collection) genome assembly, scaffold: XIS1_scaffold1
CGGCAUGUAGCGCAGCCUGGUAGCGCACCGUCAUGGGGUGUCGGGGGUCGUAGGUUCAAAUCCUAUCAUGCCGA